rnacentral:rRNA from 1 species
UACGGAGGGUGCAAGCGUUAUCCGGAUUUACUGGGUUUAAAGGGUGCGUAGGUGGGCAGGUAAGUCAGUGGUGAAAUCCCCGGGCUUAACCCGGGAACUGCCAUUGAUACUAUCUGUCUUGAAUAUCCUGGAGGUGAGCGGAAUAUGUCAUGUAGCGGUGAAAUGCUUAGAUAUGACAUAGAACACCCAUUGCGAAGGCAGCUCACUACGGGAUCAUUGACACUGAGGCACGAAAGCGUGGGGAGCGAACAGG